rnacentral:rRNA from 1 species
AACGAACGCUGGCGGCAUGCCUAACACAUGCAAGUCGAACGAGACCUCCGGGUCUAGUGGCGCACGGGUGCGUAACGCGGGGGAACCUGCCCUUAGGUUCGGAAUAACUCCCCGAAAGGGGUGCUAAUACCGGAUAAUGUCUUCGGACCAAAGAUUUAUCGCCUUUGGAUGGGCCCGCGUUGGAUUAGCUAGUGGGUAGGGUAAAAGCCUAUCAAGGCGACGAUCCAUAGCUGGUCUGAGAGAAUGAUCAGCCACACUGGGGCUGAGCCACGGCCCAGGCUCCUACGGCAGGCAGCAGUGGGGAGUAUUGGACAAUGGGCGAGAGCCUGAUCCAGCAAUGCCGGGUGAAUGGAGAUGGCCUUAGAGUUGUGAAGCUCUUUUACCCGGGAUGAUAAUGACAGGACCGGGAGAAUAAUGUCCGUCUAACUCCGUG